rnacentral:piRNA from 1 species
GAGACUGUGACAGAGCCAUUGAA